rnacentral:rRNA from 1 species
AUGGAGUAUUCAGAUACAGUAAAGUAUCAUGGAGUUCCUCAAGAUGUUAUCAAGUGCAUGCUGUUCACAUUCUCUCUCCGAGAUGAUGCUCGUGCUUGGUAUCGAUCCUUGCCAUCAAGAUCAUUCGGUUGGAAUGAGAUAUCACGAGCUUUCUUGGAUAGAUAUUUCCCACUACACAUGCAGUCUGCGAUUCGAGAUGAGAUCUUCAAUUUUGUUCAGCGUGAAUACGAGAGCUUGUAUGAUGCUUGGGAGAGAUACAAGGCUUUAUUCAGGAGAUGUCCUAACCACGGGCUCGAGAGAUGGUUAGAGUUGCAGAUAUUCUAUAGAGGAUUGACUUCGGACACUCGAGCUUACGUCGAUAUGGCAGCGGGUGGAGCUAUUACAAACAAGACACUUGAUGAAGCUUUUCUGUUGAUUGAGAGCAUAGCUUUCCACCAACUUCAGUGGUACAAUAAGAAGCCCAGGUCUUAUUCAUUGGUUUGCUUGCAACAAAUCACUACACCUCAGCCACAAAUUCUUACACAGAAGUCGGAACCAGUUUCUUCGUGUAACAAGAUUGAGCUUUCAUGGAUUAUCUUUGAUGAUGAUGACACCAUCGUAGUUGACACACACACUUAA